rnacentral:rRNA from 1 species
UACGAAGGGUGCAAGCGUUAAUCGGAAUUACUGGGCGUAAAGCGUGCGCAGGCGGUUUGUUAAGUCUGUUGUGAAAUCCCCGAGCUCAACUUGGGAAUUGCAGUGGAUACUGGCAGGCUGGAGUAUGGUAGAGGAAGGUGGAAUUCCCGGUGUAGCAGUGAAAUGCGUAGAGAUCGGGAGGAACACCAGUGGCGAAGGCGGCCUUCUGGACCAAUACUGACGCUCAUGCACGAAAGCGUGGGGAGCAAACAGG